ACAAUAUCGUUCAUAUUUCUUCAACGACAAGAGCAAGAUCGUUCGAUCGUUUCUUUGGAUAGAUAUAUACGAACAUAACGAAUCGUUUUAGUUCAUAUAAAAAGGAAAAGAAAAAUCAGAAAUUGGAUUUCUUCAAAGGAAAAAUAUUUUUUUUGCUUUUGUAAAUCUCUAAAAGAAUCGAAAUGCGUUUCUUUGUCUCGAUCAUUUGUACGAUCUUGAUGUCCAUCAUUUUUCCAAUAAUUACGGUUGGAGCUAUGAUCACUGUCCUUCAAAAUAACACUAAGGAACCACCAAAAACAACACCGAGUCCUGAAAUAAUUGUAGCACCGACAAGAUCAUGUCCACCUGGAGAACAACACGAUUCCUUGGGUAUAUGUCGGAAAAUAGUAUAAUAUAAUUUUUGAUAUAAUAAUCGAUCGUAAAAGCACCACAGAUGUUUUCUUAACUUGUCGGCUUGUAUUUCUUUUUUCUUUCUUUCUUUUUUUUUUGUUUUCUAAUGCGAUAAGAGAUUUAGAUAUUGAAAGAUUAUAUAAGACGAAUAAAAAGUUAGUAUAUUUGUAUUAUGGCCGAUCGAACAUUCACGAAUAAGUAUGUUUAAAUACAUACACGUUUAUGUUAAUAAUAAAUCGUUUCGAAAGAAAACAA